CAGACUUAUGUUUUAACCAAGCGAUCAUUCAUAAAUAUGUCGAGAGAUUUCGGGUAUUACUGGUUGAGGCUGGUUAUUUACCUUAUCGUCACGAUUUGCAUCGGGACCAUAUACCUGAAUGUGGGAACUGGAUAUACCUCUAUUCUGGCUAGAGGUGCAUGUGCAUCUUUUGUCUUCGGCUUCGUCACCUUCAUGUCCAUCGGAGGCUUUCCUUCUUUCGUGGAAGAUAUGAAGGUUUUCCAGAG
rnacentral:misc_RNA from 1 species